GACGAACGCUGGCGGCGUGCUUAACACAUGCAAGUCGAACGGAAAGGCCCUGCGUUUGUGGGGUGCUCGAGUGGCGAACGGGGGAGUAAAACGUGAGUAACCUGCCCUUGACUUUGGGAUAACUUCAGGAAACAGGGGCGAAUACCGGAGAGGAGCUCCUGCUGCAUGGUGGGGGUUGGAAAGUUUCGGCGGUGGGGGAUGGACUCGAGGCUUAUCAGCUUGUUGGUGGGGUAGGGGCGUACAAAGGCUUUGACGGGUAGCCGGCCUGAGAGGGUGACCGGCCACAUUAGGACUGCGAUACGGCCCAGACUCCUACGGGAGGCAGCAGUGGGGAAUAUUGCACAAUGGGCGGAAGCCUGAUGCAGCAACGCCGCGUGCGGGAUGACGGCCUUCGGGUUGUAAACCGCUUUCGCCUGUGACGAAGCGUGCGUGACGGUAAUGGGUAAAGAAGCACCGGCUAACUACGUG
rnacentral:rRNA from 1 species